UACGGAGGGGGCUAGCGUUGUUCGGAAUUACUGGGCGUAAAGCGUACGUAGGCGGCUUUGUAAGUUAGAGGUGAAAGCCCGGGGCUCAACUCCGGAAUUGCCUUUAAGACUGCAUCGCUUGAAUCAUGGAGAGGUGAGUGGAAUUCCGAGUGUAGAGGUGAAAUUCGUAGAUAUUCGGAAGAACACCAGUGGCGAAGGCGACUCACUGGACAUGUAUUGACGCUGAGGUACGAAAGCGUGGGAGCAAACAGG
rnacentral:rRNA from 1 species